GAUGAACGCUGACAGAAUGCUUAACACAUGCAAGUCUUUGGCGAAGCUGUGCUCGCACAGCCCAGCCAAGGCGGACGGGUGAGUAACGCGUAAGGAACUUGCCCUGCAGUCAGGGAUAACAGACGGAAACGACUGAUAAGACCUGGUAAAGUCAGGCGGACUCAUGUCCAGCCUGAUGAAAAGAGAUGCUGCAGGAGAGCCUUGCGUCCUAUUAGCUUGUUGGUGGGGUAACGGCCCACCAAGGCGAUGAUAGGUAGCCGGCCUGAGAGGGUGGACGGCCACAAGGGGACUGAGAUACGGCCCUUACUCCUACGGGAGGCAGCAGUGGGGAAUAUUGGACAAUGGGGGCAACCCUGAUCCAGCAAUUCUGUGUGCACGAUGAAGGUUUUCGGAUUGUAAAGUGCUUUCAGCAGGGAAGAAAAAAAUGACGGUACCUGCAGAAGAAGCGACGGCUAAAUACGUG
rnacentral:rRNA from 1 species